rnacentral:rRNA from 1 species
GACAGAGGUGCCAAGCGUUAGGCGGAAUCACUGGGCUUAAAGCGUGUGUAGGCGGAAUCGUAAGUACCUUGUGAAAUCCCACGGCUCAACCGUGGAACUGCUUGGUAUACUGCGUUUCUUGGGCCAAUUAGGGGCAGCCGGAACAAAUGGUGGAGCGGUGAAAUGCGUAGAGAUCGGAAAGAACACCAACGGCGAAAGCACUCUGCUGGGCCGACACUGACACUGAGAGACGAAAGCUAGGGGAGCGAAUGGG